rnacentral:tRNA from 1 species
UUCCUGGUGGUCCAAUGGUUAAGACUCUACACUCCCAAUGCAGGGGACCUGGGUUCAAUCCCUGGGUGGGAAA